rnacentral:lncRNA from 1 species
AUGGGUAGUGGUGCAUCUUUUGCAUACAUUGCACUUCUCAUCACUGCUUGUUCAUCAUUUAGUUUGAUGCUUUGGUUAGCAGCGACACCGUUGAAAUCUGCAACUCACACAGAUGCUUUGCUAUGGAACUGGGAAGCACCCAAUACACCUGAACCAUCCAUGUGGAGGGGGGAAAUUUUUUUACCUGAAACUCUACAUGAUGGAGAGGAACUCAUUCAAAGCGAGGAACAAUUACCAGAACCACGGAAUUCGGUGGAGAGUUGUUCAGAUGUAAUUGGUGUUAAUGCUGAACCGAAUUUGCCUGAGACGAUUAUGGAAACUGAACAGGAACUGCAUUUGAAAACUAACAAGGAAAGUGAUCUUGAUGUUACUUUUGAUAGCCCG